rnacentral:rRNA from 1 species
CUACGGGUCGCAGCAGUGGGGAAUAUUGCACAAUGGGGGAAACCCUGAUGCAGCAACGCCGCGUGGAGGAUGACGCAUUUCGGUGUGUAAACUCCUUUUAUAUAGGAAGAUAAUGACGGUACUAUAUGAAUAAGCACCGGCUAACUCCGUGCCAGCAGCCGCGGUAAUACGGAGGGUGCAAGCGUUACUCGGAAUCACUGGGCGUAAAGCGCGCGCAGGCGGCCUUUUAAGUUGGAUGUGAAAGCCUACGGCUCAACCGUAGAACUGCAUCCAAAACUACUAGGCUAGAGUCUGGGAGGGGAAGAUGGAAUUAGGUGUGUAGGGGUAAAAUCCGUAGAGAUAACUAGGAAUACCAAAAGCGAAGGCAAUCUUCUGGAACAAUACCGACGCUGAGGCGCGAAAGCGUGGGGAGCAAACAGGAUUAGAUACCCGCGUAGUC